GCUCGCGUGGUGUAGCCAGGUCCAUCAUGAUGGACUCUCGAUCCAUCGACCCGGGUUCGAAUCCCGGCGCGAGCA
rnacentral:tRNA from 1 species